GGGGCAUUAGCUCAGCUGGGAGAUCGCUUGACUGGCAGUCAAGAGGUCAGCGGUUCGAUCCCGCUAUGCUCCACCA
rnacentral:tRNA from 1 species